rnacentral:rRNA from 1 species
UUGAACGCUGGCGGCAGGCCUAACACAUGCAAGUCGAGCGGUAGCACAGAGAGCUUGCUCUCGGGUGACGAGCGGCGGACGGGUGAGUAAUGUCUGGGAAACUGCCUGAUGGAGGGGGAUAACUACUGGAAACGGUAGCUAAUACCGCAUAAUGUCGCAAGACCAAAGUGGGGGACCUUCGGGCCUCAUGCCAUCAGAUGUGCCCAGAUGGGAUUAGCUAGUAGGUGGGGUAACGGCUCACCUAGGCGACGAUCCCUAGCUGGUCUGAGAGGAUGACCAGCCACACUGGAACUGAGACACGGUCCAGACUCCUACGGGAGGCAGCAGUGGGGAAUAUUGCACAAUGGGCGCAAGCCUGAUGCAGCCAUGCCGCGUGUGUGAAGAAGGCCUUCGGGUUGUAAAGCACUUUCAGCGGGGAGGAAGGCGUUAAGGUUAAUAACCUUGGCGAUUGACGUUACCCGCAGAAGAAGCACCGGCUAACUCCGUGCCAGCAGCCGCGGUAAUACGGAGGGUGCAAGCGUUAAUCGGAAUUACUGGGCGUAAAGCGCACGCAGGCGGUCUGUCAAGUCGGAUGUGAAAUCCCCGGGCUCAACCUGGGAACUGCAUUCGAAACUGGCAGGCUAGAGUCUUGUAGAGGGGGGUAGAAUUCCAGGUGUAGCGGUGAAAUGCGUAGAGAUCUGGAGGAAUACCGGUGGCGAAGGCGGCCCCCUGGACAAAGACUGACGCUCAGGUGCGAAAGCGUGGGGAGCAAACAGGAUUAGAUACCCUGGUAGUCCACGCCGUAAACGAUGUCGAUUUGGAGGUUGUGCCCUUGAGGCGUGGCUUCCGGAGCUAACGCGUUAAAUCGACCGCCUGGGGAGUACGGCCGCAAGGUUAAAACUCAAAUGAAUUGACGGGGGCCCGCACAAGCGGUGGAGCAUGUGGUUUAAUUCGAUGCAACGCGAAGAACCUUACCUGGUCUUGACAUCCACAGAACUUUCCAGAGAUGGAUUGGUGCCUUCGGGAACUGUGAGACAGGUGCUGCAUGGCUGUCGUCAGCUCGUGUUGUGAAAUGUUGGGUUAAGUCCCGCAACGAGCGCAACCCUUAUCCUUUGUUGCCAGCGGUUAGGCCGGGAACUCAAAGGAGACUGCCAGUGAUAAACUGGAGGAAGGUGGGGAUGACGUCAAGUCAUCAUGGCCCUUACGACCAGGGCUACACACGUGCUACAAUGGCAUAUACAAAGAGAAGUGACCUCGCGAGAGCAAGCGGACCUCAUAAAGUGCGUCGUAGUCCGGAUUGGAGUCUGCAACUCGACUCCAUGAAGUCGGAAUCGCUAGUAAUCGUAGAUCAGAAUGCUACGGUGAAUACGUUCCCGGGCCUUGUACACACCGCCCGUCACACCAUGGGAGUGGGUUGCAAAAGAAGUAGGUAGCUUAACCUUCGGGAGGGCGCUUACCACUUUGUGAUUCAUGACUGGGGUG